GACGUAGGGCGCGAGCGUUGUCCGGAUUUAUUGGGCGUAAAGAGCUCGUAGGCGGCUUGUUGCGUCGGCUGUGAAAACCCGGGGCUCAACUCCGGGCCUGCAGCCGAUACGGGCAGACUAGAGUUCGGCAGGGGAGACUGGAAUUCCUGGUGUAGCGGUGAAAUGCGCAGAUAUCAGGAGGAACACCGGUGGCGAAGGCGGGUCUCUGGGCCGAUACUGACGCUGAGGAGCGAAAGCGUGGGGAGCGAACAGG
rnacentral:rRNA from 1 species